rnacentral:rRNA from 1 species
GACGAACGCUGGCGGCGUGCUUAACACAUGCAAGUCGAACGGAAAGGCCCUGCUUUUGUGGGGUGCUCGAGUGGCGAACGGGUGAGUAACACGUGAGUAACCUGCCCUUGACUUUGGGAUAACUUCAGGAAACUGGGGCUAAUACCGUAUAGGAGCUCCUGCUGCAUGGUGGGGGUUGGAAAGUUUCGGCGGUUAGGGAUGGACUGGCGGCUUAUCAGCUUGUUGGUGGGGUAGUGGCUUACCAAGGCUUUGACGGGUAGCCGGCCUGAGAGGGUGACCGGCCACAUUGGGACUGAGAGACGGCCCAGACUCCUACGGGAGGCAGCAGUGGGGAAUAUUGCACAAUGGGCGGAAGCCUGAUGCAGCAACGCCGCGUGCGGGAUGACGGCCUUCGGGUUGUAAACCGCUUUCGCCUGUGACGAAGCGUGAGUGACGGUAAUGGGUAAAGAAGCACCGGCUAACUACGUG